UACGGAGGAUCCAAGCGUUAUCCGGAUUUAUUGGGUUUAAAGGGUGCGUAGGCGGCCUGUUAAGUCAGUGGUGAAAGCCUCCAGCUCAACUGGAGAACUGCCAUUGAUACUGCCGGGCUUGAGUACAGACGAGGUUGGCGGAAUUGAUUGUGUAGCGGUGAAAUGCAUAGAUACAAUCAAGAACUCCGAUUGCGUAGGCAGCUAACUAGGCUGUAACUGACGCUGAGGCACGAAAGCGUGGGGAGCGAACAGG
rnacentral:rRNA from 1 species